rnacentral:rRNA from 1 species
UGCCUACGGGGCGCAGCAGUGAGGAAUAUUGGUCAAUGGGCGAGAGCCUGAACCAGCCAAGUCGCGUGAGGGAAGACGGUCCUACGGAUUGUAAACCUCUUUUGUCAGGGAGCAAGGAGCGCCACGAGUGGUGCGGCGAGAGUACCUGAAGAAAAAGCAUCGGCUAACUCCGUGCCAGCAGCCGCGGUAAUACGGAGGAUGCGAGCGUUAUCCGGAUUUAUUGGGUUUAAAGGGUGCGCAGGCGGCACGGCAAGCCGGCGGUCAAAUCGCGGGGCUCAACCCCGCCCAGCCGUCGGAA